rnacentral:rRNA from 1 species
AGCCUGCGAGUCCAGGCCGUAAGGUACUGGCAGACGGCUCAGUAACACGCGGAUAAUCCAACCUUAGGUGGGGCAUAGCCUUGGGAAACUGAGAUUAAUUCCCCAUAGAUCCCGAAAACUGGAAUGUUACGGGUUCAGAAAGUCACGACGCCUAAGGACGAGUCUGCGGCCUAUCAGGUAGUAGGUGGGGUAAAGGCCCACAUAGCCUAUGACGGGUACGGGCACUGAGAGGUGUAGCCCGGAGAUGGGUUCUGAGACACGAACCCAGGCCCUACGGGGCGCAUCAGGCGCGAAACCUUCGCAAUGCGCGCAAGCGCGACGAGGGGAACUCGAGUGCAAUUGUCAUUUUUGAUGAUUGCUUUUCUUGAUCCUAAAAA